UUUUGUAUUUGUCUGGGUGUCUGGGGUGCAUAGCGACACGGGACCGCCGGCUCGCUGGCCGGCUGCCCGUCCGGUCACGUGCUUGCGUCCCGACACCCACCAUAAAACCAUGUUCUUCGGAAAUACACGCUCUCACUUCUCCUCUACCGACUGUGACGCCAACACCAUCCGCGGACCCCGUCUCCGACGAGGGCGGCCGAAAUGGCCGGCCCACAAUUGGUGCCAGCGGUGGUGGUUGGUUGUCGGUGGAGGAUUUUUGGCUUCAGAUGCACUCGUUCAGAAGACGCCACUCUUUAAAAGGACUUCAUUUUUUUUCAACCGUAUAUUUUUUUUUAUUAAAUAACAAGUAAGUUCUAACAAUAGUUAGAUAUUCCAAUAACACUUUAACCCACUAAAAACAUUGGCCUCUUCAAUUUAUUCGUUAAAAAUAAGUCACUUGGCAGUACUAUUAAAACCGGUCUUUUGCUAGUCAUUGGCUCAUUAGCCCCAUUUUUUUUUCUCCUUACUACUCACUUUGCGACGUAAACGAUCUCUCGAUCGACUGACCGGCGGUACUGCCCGUUUUUAACAAUCAUUCAAUGUUUUGCUAUCCGCUGUGUCAAAAACAUGUCUUCUGUGUCAUUUAUAUAAUGAUGUCUUCCAAUGAAUGUUCAGCCUUCACAAAGUUCAUACUGCCGUUUUAUCACACAAUUGUUAUCACACAUCAGGGAAAAUGUAUCACUGACCGGCACAGCGAUAGCACAACAUUGUAAUAAAAAAUGUAUGUGGAUGCAUGUUUGAAUACUUGGACACGGAAACAAAUUCGAAUGUCCUACGGACCCGAAUGUUUUGGCCUUUGAAAGUCCAUGGGUUCCGUGGCACGCCUGGGGAAGCAUUACGACACUUGUGUCGCCCAGUGCUACGUGCCUUUUGUACAAAUGUUGUACUGUACAGCUGUAAAUAUGAAUGACUGUUUUGUAUGAUGUAUAUGUCGGGGCAUUGUUUCGGCACAUUUUAAUUCGAUUCUUUUUCUCUUACAGUCCUUGAGUUUCUGUUACCCAUCUGGGAGUGGCCACUAUCUGACUCCCCGAGCAUCGACUACGGAGAAACGCCGAUACGCAACACGGUCUGCAAAAGCUGGCUGAUCAUAGCUAUGAUGGGAUUGGACGCUCAUCGCCGACCCGUCUGGCUGUCUCAGUCGCUCUGCAUCUGGUCCACGAAUCACACACUGCAACUGCGGACGCCAUCACCGACUGCAACGGCUGCAACUGCAACCAGCAGGUGGCCUAGGUCCAAAGCCAACGCCUGGCUGACCCACAUGGCCGCCUGCCGUCGCUGCUACCUCAUCUGCUCAUCGUGCUUCGCUGUUCUCCGUCCGUUCGUCCGUCACUCUCGUCGCCCGUGCCAGCCGCCAUCAACAUGGCUGAGCGCACUAUCGCCGCCAUCAACGCGCUGUCGAUCAAAGGGGUCACCAACACCCUCGCCAAUUCCACCAGCUUCCGGUACGCUGACGUCUCCGGUAUCGGUGCUGUGCGGCGGCAGCCAACGCUCCGUUGACAGGUGUGGCCACACUGUCACGGCGCACCCUGGCCGCUGCCCCUCUCGAUCAACUCGGACAUCAUCUACCCGCAGAGGUGCCUGGCGCAUAACAUCGACAACGACAAAACAUGGCGACAACGAUAACGACGACGACUAGCAAUGACGACAAAACCGAAUCGGAGAGCAGCGACAACAGCAGCAGCAGUAGUAGCAACAACAGGCGUACCAGUACCAGUAGCAGCAGCAGCCGUACCUGCAGCAGCAGCAGCAGUCGUACCUGGCGUUCCAUGCGCGGUGUCAUACGUGGAUCUAUGCAGUUAGGAUCGUGAUUGCUUAUUGGUCGCCUCCUCUUGUCGGCUUGUUGGGGGAGGAAAGAUAUGUGGAGAAGGAAAUCAUGGCCUCCCACUCCCGAUGGAGGCCCCAAAUGUCGGACCCCUAUUUUUUGUAUUUGUCUGGGUGUCUGGGGCGCAUAGCGACACGGGACCGCCGGCUCGCUGGCCGGCUGCCCGUCCGGUCACGUGCUUGCGUCCCGACACCCACCAUAAAACCAUGUUCUUCGGAAAUACACGCUCUCACUUCUCCUC
rnacentral:misc_RNA from 1 species